GUUAAUUAGGCAUUAAUAUAUUGCAUCAUUUGUUGAAAAUCCUCCUAAAAAGUACGUGUUUAAUUUCAGAGUUAAAGUAGCAGCAAGUUUUGGAGUCCAUGUACCUGUUUCCAAGUCCCCAUUAAACAGCCCAUGAAAAUACUGAAAACUAAAAAUUGACAAAAUGCCAAAGUCAAGAUACUAAAGCCCACACCAGGUGGAAGAAGUUAACUGCAUGCAGACCACUGGCAUGUAGACCCCAGACAGGUUGGACCCAGAAGGUGGAUGAUUGAGAUUCCCAGCACAUCACCCUGUUACCUCACCAUCAGCCAAUCAAAGAAUUGCACACAAGCUGAUCAGGCAUGUUUCCUGUAUAUGAAGAAGACUGACCCCAGAGCUGACCAAAAGUCUCUCAACGGUUGUAACCUUCAGGCUGGACUGUGCCCCUGAGCUAUUUGCUGGGUCUUUCUCGGAUCUUGCUGUAAAAAGGGUGAGACCUCACUGCAAGUCAAUUGAUCUAGCUUCCAAGUGUGUGGGCUGGGAAAGGUCAAAAGCUUCAUUUCAGAGGAAACACUGUCUUCUAAGGCAUUCAUUCAUUCAUUCUUUCAUGUGUGUGUGUAAGAGAGAAGGAGAGAGGCAAAAAUGUUUGUUUACAACAAUAAAACAAACAGUAUGUCAAACGGUGAUAAGUUCUAUGGAGAAGAACGAAACAAGGAAAGGUGACAGAGAGUGCUAGGCUGCGGAUGGGAAAACUUCAAGUAGACUAUCUUUUGAUGUGUUUGAAAUAUCUACUGAUAAUCUGAAAUUCGAUACACCUUUGCCUCAUGUGGUGGGUAAAUUCCUUUCUUAACAUUCAACGUUAUAAGAAGCAAGAUCAUUGCACUAGGAAAAGUAGUUGGCUGUCUGAUCCCCACUUCAGGGAGGAAAGGGGAAAAAGUCAUUUAUUGAAGACUCAGCUUUGCUAGGGUUUGAAAUUGUUAGCGCUGUUACAGGGGCAAUUUAUCCAGGCCAUGAACUUCUUUAUGUGCACCUUUGAUAUAACACACUGGGCCAAGUGAAAGUAAUACCUUGGUUCACCCAGAAAAUCAGGAAACAGAACACAGAAGUUGACUGAUGUUGGCCAUUUGGAGAUAGACCAGCCGCAAUGACGUAGACAUUUUCUUAUCAGGUCCAGAAACCCAUGUGAGCCAGGAAACUAUCCUUUCACACUCCCUCCGCUCUAUUAGGCUUCUUCCAGUGCCAGACAGAAGGACCCAGUGCUUCAGAAGUUCCGAUCAGAAUGCUCAGAUGACCACAAUGAAAAUACUCCUGUGUGCCUGCCAAGGCCCACCCAGCAGUGCUCAGUUCUGCAAGGAAGCAGGACCCGGGGACAGGCUGUGAGUCUGAUGCAGACUCUGAAGAUGCUGAAAAUCGUAAGAAAUGAUCUUCUUGAAAAUGUACUGGAUUUUGCCAAUUACACUGGAUUGUUCACAAAACCAUUUUGAGGAGCACUGUGCAGAGGCAGGGACACACCAUAAACAUCUAACCACCAGCUGGCCGGCCCUGGGCUAUGAGCGCAGCUGUCGGUGUCAGCUGAAACAAAACCCAAACUUGCAUCUCUCAGAGGGUGGGAAGAUGCUCUGACCUACUCUCCCAUCCAAAAACCCCAGGUGAUGUGCCGAAUGGGGGUGGAAGUGGGAUUGGAGAAGGGCUGCAGAAACCGCCAGGGUGUUCCUGGGGGCACUUUUCAGCAGGAUGGAGGAGAACUGGUUCUUACAGUCUCUAGGGUACUGGUUGAAGGUUUGGUUCCUACGUCCCUUCCCUGCAGCUGCACGGGCCUCUUGUCCACCUCCUCUGUCAGCCUUGGAGCCAACAUGUCUCCACAGUGUGAGGGCAGGAGCAUGGGUUUCCCAGGCCUGGGACGCAGUCCAGAAGUUAACACCAGUAAGGUCAGGAUUUCCUGCAGCCUCUGCAAUCAAGUUUCCUCAGGUCAGCUGGUCGCACAGAGCGGCCUCCGGAGCCCUCCAAGUAACAUCAUGGGCCCCGCUGUUCUCCUACAAGUUGCUGCCCUUUCCCACACUCCAGGCAGGAAAAAAUCUUUUAAUCCCUAGCUUCGUGCCAGCCCUCAUUUCUGCUCAUCUUGACUCCAAAUUUGAAUACCAGUUACCUCAAACUGUUCUCAAGAUUUUUAAAGACGUAGAUCAAGAAAGUCACCCCUUCAGUCCACCCACUGAACAGUUGGGAUGUGACCUGGUGCCUGUGUUGACCGUUCGGGCUACAUUUGCCCUGCUUGGGAGCAGUAAUAACUGCAGUCCUCUUCUUGAACUUGUGCCAAGACAUACUGUAUUUAAGAAGAGUGGAAAUUCCCCAUGGCAUUUGCUUUCUGAUGUUUUAAAUAUUUGCUUAUUUUUCCCACAGGAAACUUUAUACUUAGUGUACAUUCCUAAAUCGAUUGUUUUUUAUUUUUUUUCCUCCCUGCGUUUCCCUCUUUAGCAAAUCGUUGGGCAGCUCAUCAUGGACGUUUCUGCCAAUGUGACACCUCACAGCAGCUCGAGACAUUCUCCUUUGUGCCGCGUGCUUGGAUCCCCGGCAGCCGGUUUUCUUAUUUGCUCGGUAAAUCUCAGCCGUUGCCUUGUUCAGGACUCCUCUUCCCGUGUAAGAAGCAUCUCCGAAAGCCGACCAGACCCCAUUAUGUUUUCAUUUCUCCUAGGCUCAGACUCAUGGUUUGCUCCUGAAAACAGCUCCAAGGGCUCCCUGUGGGGCUGGCCAUGGGACGCGAGCCCCAUCCAACUCUCCAAGUCAGUAACAGUUUGCUUCCUGGUUAUAUGUAAAGCACCCCGGCAAAAGGAAAUAGAGAUUCGAUAAAGAUAAACUAGAAGUGGCUGGUCACAGAGAAAAAUGUCCAGUUAGAACACUCUGGGGGAUGGACCAUUUUACAGGAUUUCUUCUUUAUUUUGAGGGGAGGAAAAGCCCAGUCAAAAAAUAUAAUCAGCUCGGGACUUCCCUGGUGGUCCAGUGGUUAAGACUCCACAUACCCAAUGCAGGAGGCACGGGUUCAAUCCCUGACUGGGGAACUAAGAUCCCAAUAUAUAUAUAAUCAACUAAUUUAUAUCUGGCCUGUCAGCCAUCAGAAUACGCCAGGGAAACAUAUGCUGAAAUUCUUGGCUUCACAAUGUCGUUAGGGGCAGCCCUGUGAGGCAGAAAAUGGUGCAAAAUGUCUGCAGGACAGAUAACCAGUACAGAGGGUGGUGUCAGGGAAGCCCUUUGUUUUGGGGAGCCUAAGCCUGGGGGGGUGGGGAGGGAGGUGGAGAGACAUCCUCCCAUCUUGGAGACUCUGUCAACAGACUUGGCUGCAGAUCCGGGAUCUUCUGCUGGACCAGGUGGAGAUGUUGUGGUCAGCAUCUCUUUCCUUCCCAGGCUUGUCUGUUUCUAUGUAAGAUCAGAGUGGGACUCCAGGUUAGAAGGUGGGAGAUUUCAGUGCUUCGGAAGCACUUUUCAUGGCCAGAUCUAAACUGAGACUCAACUGAAUUCUGUGAGUACCUCUGGAGAAUCUGCUCUACAUAAGCCACCGCGCUAACCACGGCUGUGUCACUACGACGCGGCUCGGAAGACCCUGACAACCUAGUCUCUAAGCACAGCCACCCCAGGCUCGUGCUGUCCAAAACCUCAACAGCCACCCGUGGUGCACGCUGGACGCUGCAGUUGUGUCGGAGCCUUGGGAGGAUUCUCCCCACCUUCAGAGAGCUUGUAGCCUGGGGGAUGAAAAGAUUGCUACAGAAGCAGCUGUGGAAAAGCAAGCUCAGUGGAAAAAUGGGAGUAACCAAAAAUGAAUUCAGAGCGAACUCAAGAUAUAAGACGCGGGCAAAGGAGGAGGGACAGAGGGGAGAAGAGGAGGCUGGAUUAUCUUGUGGGAGCCUCCCAUGCCUCGUCUUAAAUUGCUAGGUCAUCAAGGAUUGUGCUUUAGGAGAUAACACUGAGAAAAACCGGCCAGGAGACUGGAAGCCAAGUAGAAACACACUUCAUACUGUCAAGGUAAAAGAUAAGGGGGCCUGAACUUGUACGAUAACAGUCAAAAGGAGAAAAGGCACUGAAUUGGGAGAUGUUUUGAGGCUUAUAAAAAUUCAUUUUGACUCACCGUGAAGUUAAAAGUGAGAAAAUUAGUAAGAAACAAAAUAUUGAUGAACCCCAACUUUACUAACAAGAAACAACAUAGUUCAAGAUUUAUAUUGAAACUGCCUUUUGUGUAGGUAACAAAAUGGUCAACAAUCAGUAAUUUCAUGAAAUUCAAAUUUACUUUAUAAUAGGCCCCCCUAAAUAUCCCACUGUAGGAAAAGUAUAACCCCAAACAAAAUAACAUUAAAAUGAAUAAAAAUUAACUGUGAAUACAAGAGAGCACGAAGUCAUUUAUUUAGCAGUGGGACAGGUGAGCGCAGGUUUUAAAGAGAAGACCCAGUUCUUAAGGAGAUGGCCUGGUAGAGAAUUUCCCCUUGGCUUUCAGCCUAGGGCAAAAUUCCAGAGAAAAGUGGUUUAGGUCAGUGAAAGCCCAAUACUUGUUUUGGAAUUAAAGAAGGGUAUUGUAACUAACUUCAAUGUACAAUCUCCUAUACACCACCCUUUGGGGCUUUUCUUAACAGAUUUGAUCCAGAGUUACCAGCAGAGAUUAAAAAUACCUGCAAUGAAACCUUCCCUGAGUCCAUUUUCUGCCUGUGCUCCCUUCACCAUAAUACGUACUGAAGACAGAGUUUAGGAACAAACAGAAAACUUAACACUGCUACGCCAAACGUUAAGCAAACCUUCCAUUCCAUGAGGAUGUCAUUAGGUCACCUAGUAAAUGUUAAUGCCUACCCAAGGGUGAACACUGUGAAUCUCAGUCAGAAUGCUGCAGGUUGUAGAACCUUCAUAAUUUUCACCUCUAAAUUCUGAGCCACAUCAACGUGCUUCCAAGCCUUUGUUCCCACUGAUUCCUUUUCCUCCCCAAUUCUUUGCUAUUUAAGGAAUGCUAACUUAUCCUUCAAGCCUUGACCCACCCUAGCCUCACCCGCUCCCUAGGACCUUGCAACAUUCAGUUCAUGCUUUUAUUUCCAUUGUAUUCAGUUUGCUUGUCUCCCAAUCUUAGUUUGGUUUUCACUCCUAGAUUCAAUCAAGAAAUGUCAGCCCAAAACUACAUGCUUUUUGUAUUGACCAGUAAAACAAAGGAAAAUAAAUUUCAAGAUUGUAUGCUGAUAA